rnacentral:misc_RNA from 1 species
GAUGAAGAACGUAGCGAAAUGCGAUAAGUAAUGUGAAUUGCAGAAUUCAGUGAAUCAUCGAAUCUUUGAACGCACAUUGCGCCCGCUAGUAUUCUGGCGGGCAUGCCUGUCCGAGCGUCAUUUCAACCCUCAAGCCCCCGGGCUUGGUGUUGGGGAUCGGCGAGCCUCCGCGCCCGCCGUCCCCUAAAUCUAGUGGCGGUCUCGCUGUAGCUUCCUCUGCGUAGUAGCACACCUCGCACUGGUAAACAGCGCGGCCACGCCGUUAAACCCCCAACUUCUGAACGUUUGACCUCGGAUCAGGUAGGAAUACCCGCUGAACUUAAGCAUAUCAAUAAGCGGAGGA